UACGAAGGGUGCAAACGUUGCUCGGAAUCAUUGGGCGUAAAGCGCACGUAGGCGGUCGUGCAAGACAGAUGUGAAAUCCCCGGGCUUAACCUGGGAAUGGCGUUUGAAACUACGGAGCUGGAGUGUGGCAGAGGGAGGUAGAAUUCCACGUGUAGCGGUGAAAUGCGUAGAUAUGUGGAGGAAUACCGAUGGCGAAGGCAGCCUCCUGGGCCAACACUGACGCUCAUGCACGAAAGCGUGGGGAGCAAACAGG
rnacentral:rRNA from 1 species